GGAUAUUAGGAAAAAUUUCUUCACUGAAGGGGUUGAUAAGCAUUGGGACAGGCUGCCCCGGGAAGUGGUGGAAUCACUAUCUGCAGAGGCAUUUAAAAGA